GCCUCCGUAGCUCAGUUGGUAGAGCAUCGGAUUCUUAAUCCGUGGGUCCUUGGUUCGAGUCCAAGCGGGGGUACCA
rnacentral:tRNA from 1 species